ACUGCGCCACCAGGGAAGCCCUUUACCACUAUCUUUUUAAAAAAAGAAGAAUGGAAGGAGGGAAGGAAAGUGUCAGAUCAGGCAAAGUCUUGUGACUAUAGUGAGGAUUUGUUUUGUUCCUGGUUUUUGGCCACAGUGCAUGGCUUGCAGGAUCUUCCCCGACCAGGGGUUGAACCCAGGCCACCGCAGUGAGAGCCUGGAAUCCUAACUACUAGGUCACCAGGGGAAUCCCUUAUGAAUGGCUUUAGAAGCAGAGACGUCAGGGAGCAGGUUACUGCAGACCUCUCGGCGAGCGAUGAUGGUGGCCUGGAUAAGAUGGAAGAGGUGAUGCUGACAAGAAGAGCUCAGAUUUUAAGAAAAUGUGAAGGGCUACAGUCGACUGGGUUUCCUGAUGGAUUAGAUGUGGUGGAGAAAGGGCACAGCGAAGGGAAGCAAAGACUCAGGGAUGACUCCUACGGUGAUCAGAGCCCCAAUUUCCUCACCUUCUCCAGGGCCUCUGGAGAGAACCGCAGAACCACAUUGCACUUGACAAGCUGUUCCUGGGAUGCUGGGCAUUUUUAUGUGAUUAGGCUAGAAUAGUUCUUUGGGAAUAAAUGCCCUCGGUCUAAAAGGCUUUUACAAACUAGGGCAGGAGAUUAAAGGCGGCCAGGCUGAGGAGAAAUUCCAAGGUCAGGAGACAGCUGGGCAUGGAGACUUUUAAUCUAAACCUUAAAUGUUUUUAUUUUUCACUCCCUGAACCCAGGGUGUCACUUUAAAUACGUAUUUGGCAACAUCUGCUGUUCUAUUUUUCUUUUUAAUUAUACAAAGAGUGAUCCUGGAAACAGCUCAACCCCAGGCCGGGGAGGUAAAAACAUUUGGCAGCAGUUGGAUGCAGAGACACCAACUAAAAAUCUAGUGGACUGAAGUCCUUUUGAAGGAGCAGAGAGACUACCCUGAACUUGGUGUGGUGAGCCCUGACUCAGGGUUUCUAAAAGGAGAAUGACAGUCACCAGCUUAGAACAGAAAGAGGACAGAUGGGCACGUCUGCAAGAUAAAAAUAUCACUAGCACCAGCAUUGCUCCAGUACCUUGAGUUUAUUCCCAGGCCUCUGUCCUCUUCUUCCCUUUCAUCCUCUGAGCAGAAAACAGCUAACUAGAUGAUUCAUUCACAUUUACAGGGUACCGCCUACUAUGUGGCAGGCACCAGGUUCAACUGUUUCUCCGUGUUGUCUUGUUUUAUGCAGUCAGCUAUUCUGUGAGUAGAUACUCAUAGAUAUCAUUAUCCCCAUUUUCUAGAUGGGGCAUCUGAGGCUUAGAGAGAUUAAAUACAACUCUAGCUCCCCAGUGUUGGGCCUGGGCUUGUUUGCCCUCAAAUCCAUUCCUUGCCCUUCCUCUGUUUAGCUCUGUAUCACAGGAAGGCCAACCUCUGCAGGCUGCCAAAUCAACUGACUUCCUGUAUAGAUUGACCAAUGGGAGUCAGUGAUAGGAGCCUGGUGGGCGGGAGGAAGGGAGAAGCCUGGGUAUUUCUCCCUCUCUCUGCCUCAGGUAAUAUUUCCAGUAGCAGCUACAUUUCCUAUGUCUCCACCUCCCACCAGACAGGCCCCCUGUGGGUCCACCUUCUGUCUGGUGACCUCAAUCCUUCCUGGGUACCAGAAACACCACCUCCUCCCUUGGUCCCUCCAAUCCCAGGGGUGGUACUGGCCUUCCUGCUGUCGCUAAUCUGUAGGUUCUUCACCCUCCCUCCCCUGUUUGAGUGCUUCCAUGGUUCUUCCAUUACCUAGGAAGCAAUUCUUUGCAUAAAUUCCCCUAUUCUAGUAUCUGUUUUUCCUGGUUGGAUUCUCACUGAUUUUCUGCCUUUCGUGAAUACUCACAGAGUAGUCAAUUCAUCAGGUUCGGAAUGAAACAAUUCCCUCUCCUUGAGCACAGCACAUCCCACAAAAAGGAAAAUAGUAACCACCAUUUAUUGAGCAUUGUUCUCAGUGCCAGACAAAUGUUCUUUUGUGGAACACUCAUAGCAGCCCUUUCUGCCAAACCCCAUUAAUUACUAUUCCCAUUUGACAGGUGGGGCUCACAGAGGUUGGGUUGCUUGCCCAAAGUGGUACAGUUAUAAACUGACAAAGCUGGGAUUCGAGGAGCUCCCAGCUCCAAAAAUCUGCUUGUCUUUUUCUAAUCUCUGCUGACAUCUUGAACACACUUGCAACUCCCUGAUAAACCUAUUAGAACUCAAGUCCCUUGGCUGACUGAAGAUCCCACCUCAACUUACUCUAGGGUAAGUAUAUGAGCUUCCUAGGGCUGCUAUAACAAAGUACCACAAACUGGGUGGCCAAGAACACCAGAAAUUUAUUGUCUCAUGCUUUGGGAGACCAGAAGUCUGAAAUCAAGGUAUCAGCAGGGCUGUGGUCCCUCUGAAGGCUCCAUGGAAAGUUCUGACCCAGGCCUUUCUCCCAGCUUCUGGAAGCCUCAGGCACUCCUUGGCUUGUGGAUGGCCAUCUUCUCCCUGUGUCUCUUCAUAUCAUCUUCUCUCUGGGCCUGCCUGUGUGUCCAAAUCUCCCCUUUUUAUAAGCACACUAGUCACAUUGGAUUAGGGCUCACUGUAAUGAACUAAUUUUAACUUGGUUACCUCUCUAAAGACCCUGUUUCCAAAUAAGACCGCGCUCCAAGGUACUGGGGGGGACACAAUUUAACUAAUAACAGUCCUUCUUGACCCAGGUGCUCAGUCUCUACAGUGUGACCUAGUUGGUCCUAUUUUUUUUUUU